GACGAACGCUGGCGGCGUGCUUAACACAUGCAAGUCGAACGGAAAGGCCCUGCUUUUGUGGGGUGCUCGAGUGGCGAACGGGUGAGUAACACGUGAGUAACCUGCCCUUGACUUUGGGAUAACUUCAGGAAACUGGGGCUAAUACCGGAUAGGAGCUCCUGCUGCAUGGUGGGGGUUGGAAAGUUUCGGCGGUUGGGGAUGGACUCGCGGCUUAUCAGCUUGUUGGUGGGGUAGUGGCUUACCAAGGCUUUGACGGGUAGCCGGCCUGAGAGGGCGACCGGCCACAUUGGGACUGAGAUGCGACCCAGACUCCUACGGGAGGCAGCAGUGGGGAAUAUUGCACAAUGCGCGGAAGCCUGAUGCAGCAACGCCGCGUGCGGGAUGACGGCCUUCGGGUUGUAAACCGCUUUCGCCUGUGACGAAGCGUGAGUGACGGUAAUGGGUAAAGAAGCACCGGCUAACUACGUG
rnacentral:rRNA from 1 species